rnacentral:lncRNA from 1 species
UUUGGUCCCAACUGGCUGUGCCUAUAGGCUUGUCACUAGGAGAACAUUUGUGUUAAUUGCACUGUGCUCUGUCAAGGAAACUUUGAUUUAUAGCUGGGGUGCACAAAUAAUGGUUGCCGGUCGCACAUGGAUUCGGUAGAACUUUGCCUUCCUGAAUCUUUUUCCCUGCACUACGAGGAAGACUGGACAACACCUGAUACCAACAAUAUAAUGUCACCUCUGCUAUAGAUCACCCAAGACCAGCUGCAUUUACAUCCAGAUGUUAACUACUGCAGACUAAGCUAUUAAGAGUUUAACAAAUACAAGCACUGGCUGAGCUUCAGACCUUCCAUCGAAAUGCAGACCACUUUGAACAUCAGCACGUGCAUGUGGGAAUUCAAACUCCUGACGGUUCAUUCACGAUCACACAUUUACCUGGAUGCUUCUCUGCAGAAUGUCAAACAAAGAUCGACACAUUGAUUCCAGCUGUUCGUCCUUCAUCAAGACGGAACCUUCCAGCCCAGCCUCCCUGACGGACAGCGUCAACCACCACAGCCCUGGUGGCUCUUCAGACGCCAGUGGGAGCUACAGUUCAACCAUGAAUG